GGGUGAUGGAGUGGUUUGAGCAUCAGACUACGAAUCUGGAGACCAGGGUUCAAAUCCCAGCUCAGCCA